CAGUCGCCGCGGGAACACGUAGGUGGCAAGCGUUGUCCGGAAUUAUUGGGCGUAAAGCGCGCGCAGGCGGUCUCUUAAGUCUGAUGUGAAAGCCCCCGGCUUAACCGGGGAGGGUCAUUGGAAACUGGGAGACUUAGAGUGCAGAAGAGGAGAGUGGAAUUCCAUGUGUAGCGGUGAAAUGCGUAGAUAUAUGGAGGAACACCAGUGGCGAAGGCGACUCUCUGGUCUGUAACUGACGCUGAGGCGCGAAAGCGUGGGGAGCAAGCGGGAUUAGAUACCCCGGUAGUCCCUGUCUCUUAUA
rnacentral:rRNA from 1 species